UUUGACUAUCUGUCCUGAUUUAAAAAGAAAGGACUUUAAUUAAAAAUUAAUUAGAUUCAUGUCCUCGUAAGGUUGAGACAUGGGUUCAUUUAUUUAUUUAUCUAUUUACCUUAAGUAGCAAAUAUACUGGAAUACAAGACCUGGUGCCAGAGUUCCCGUGGUGGCGCAGUGGUUAACGAAUCUGACUAGGAACCAUGAGGUUGCGGGUUCGGUCCCUGCCCUUGCUCAGUGGGUUAACGAUCCGGCGUUGCCGUGAGCUGUGGUAUAGGUUGCAGACGCGGCUCGGAUCCCACGUUGCUGUGGCUCUGGCGUAGGCCGGUGGCUACAGCUCCGAUUCGACCCCUAGCCUGGGAACCUCCAUAUGCCGUAGGAGCGGCCCAAGAAAUAACUAAAAAAAAAAAAAAAAAAAAAAAAAAAAAAAAAAAAGACCUGGUGCUAAAGACUGGGGAGGCAGGCUUGAAGAAGACAAAGUACUGGGAUUGACUGAAUUGACCUGUGAAAUGGGGCUCUUUGCCUCCUUUGAAUGUUGCAUGACAUAGCAAGACAGAUUAUGGUACUGUAAUAGAAAUGUGCCAGAAAUUUAAUAGGAGUUAAUUUUCUAUUUCCUCAGAAAUGAGGACAAAACUCUUUCAUGAUGCAUAGAAGGUAGAUUUUCCCUUUGAGUCUCCCCUCUUUAAUAAAUGUUCUUCAAGAAUUUAACUUGUAUGUGCCUUUAUGAAAGUGUCAGGUACUAUGCUACAUGCUUUAAACACAUGGUUUUAUAUAAGCCAAGUAGUACAGAGCAUUGUCAGCAUAUAAAAUAAAGCUGUGACAUUUUCUGUUUGACUCUGGCUCAAUGGCAUCAAUUGCACUAGUUCCAUCUCAGAAUUUUUUUUUUACAGCACAUCUUCCUCUAGUCUGAAGUCAUUGCAAGUUUUCACAUUUAAGUUUAAAUAUUGCUGAAACAGUUGUGCUGUUUUCUUGCUAUUACUUGUGCAGAGUGAAGCACAAGUUACAAGCUGAGGGUGGUGAAAGUGGUAGCUGAAGGUGGAAACUCAAAAGUACAUCUGUCAGAUUUUAACUUCAACUACCUAGUGCUGUUUGGAAAUGUUAAGUUUUACUCAACCAAACAGACCAUGAAGGGGUUUCCAUUUUGUCACAAAACCCACUGAGGAAUAAUUCAAAGGCAAACAAGACGGUUUUCUGUGAUCCAGGAAAGGUGUGAUAAUGAAGAAAACCUUCAAGAGUCAAUUAAGGAAAAUGUCAGAGAAGUAAAACAUUUCAGUAAAUUCUUGAAAGAUGAGUAUGAAUUUGAAAUGAGUUCAGGGAAUAGGAAUGGUAAAACUAGAAAGUGUUUCAGGCUUGGCAAAGAGCAUGCAAGAAAGCAUAGACGUGUGAAAGGGCAAGGAUUCUUCAUGCAAAUAGGGGAACUGUGCACCACCUCUUGGUCAAAUAAAACAUUUAGUUUUUCAGAAGCGUAACUUUUCUAUGGAAUGCGUGAGACUACAGUGUGCUUUGAAAAGUUCUGGAGAACUAAAAUUCUUGUGAAAGGUUCUAAAUGGAGAUAUCUUCACUUAAACCAGGGAAAUGUGUCCUAGUUGAGCUGUUCCAACAAAGGGAAAGCAGCAUCUAGAGAGUUCAGAUAUUGAAUAUAUUCAACAAAAGGUGGGUCAAACACCGAUGAGAAAAGAUUCAUACCUAAGAAGGAUGAGAUAACCUAACAAUCCAUCCCAACCCAAGACCCUGUUACACAGUUUAAUUUUUAAAGGCAGUUUUUCUAAGAGAUUCUUAAAAUAUUGUGUUGAUUUUAAAUAUAAAUGUUAUUUUUCCGCUGCUUAAAUUUUUAAUAAUCUCCACAAUCCAAAGUGUGUGGGAAGUCAGCUGAAGUAGAGAAGUUCUAGAAAUAGCUAUCUGAUGUUGCAACCCACUGUGAAAAACUUUGAAAGUGGCGCACUUAGAGUUUUAGAAGCAUUCUGCCAUAUUCCAUCAUUAAAAGAAUAGCACAGAUCUGGUGAAAUAAAGAGAAAUUGUGUUUUGGAGGCUAGUAAUGCACUAAAGGAUUUUAUUUAAUUUAUUUUAGCUAAAAUUGCUCAAAAACAUAGUGGAAAAUAGUCGAAUGAUAUUUCACCAUAAGAUUUAGUCUUUUAAAAUAACAAAACAUAUAGUUGUAGAUACUAUAAGUGACAAUUUAUUUGCAAUUAUAUGAAAGAUGUUGAAACAUUAUACAGUUAAAAUUUAAUCAUUAAAAUCAAUUUCAUCAUGCUAACUUUGAAUACGGAAAUAGAAACUGUCCUUCCUACAUAAACAUUAAAAAAAUAUGAGCGAUAAGACUGAAAGAAAACAUCUAUUUUAUAGCUUAUUCCAUGUAAAUACUAUUGGGCAAACUGAAGACCACAGAGGCAAUGUGACUUGCCUAAUGUCACACGAAAACUCAACAUCGAACUGGAACCAGGAAGGGAACAUCAAAAUUACAAGUCUGCAUUUUUAUCUAAACCUUAAAACUGAUUAUUUUAUGUAGAGCCCCACCUAGACCACAAACAAUCUAUAGGAAUAAUGUUACCUAUCCAGCAUUGGUUUUCUUUGAUGAAAUAGACUAAAUGCUAUGCAUUAAUAAGAACAUGCCAUAAAACCCCAUUAAUUCCAAUACUGGAGUACUAACUCAGCAACUAAGUAUCAAGGACAAAUAUGUACAAAACAAUUUGCAAGGUGCCUUGAAAGAUAAAGUGAUGAUUAAUAACAUGUUUCUAUGUUUUCAAAUAUAAGCACGUCACAUCAAUCAAAAGUAUGCAUUAUCCAAUAUUCAUGAACAAUCAAAUUCUAAUUUCAAUUACUUGAGGCACAUUUAGGUUAAGGAAAUGUUAAUUGUUAUGUUGACAACAGAGCCUUGAUAAAAAUUCACAAUUUUUGAAUCAAUAUUCAUUUUUUUGGAGUCUAUUACGAGGGGAAUAAGCUUUAUAAUGAAAACAUCCACUAAGAUGUUACUCAUACUAGUGAGAAAAUAGUGUUUCUAUUUAAAAUGGUUUAGUAGCUAAGUUAAUUAUGGCAUAUCUGGUAUAUGCAGUAGUAUACAACAUUGUAAAUUAUCUUUAAGAGCAAUUUACUGGCAUAGAACAUCAAUAUUUAAAAACUUCAAACAUUCUGUAAUAAAACAAAUAUUAAAUAUAAUAAGAUAUCCAUCUAGAAAGAGAUUAACAAAAGCUAUGUCAAAAUGGGUGUCUUAUAUAAUGAUCUUUAUAUUUUCUUUUUCUAAUUUUAUCUAUUUUUAAAAAUUUCAACAAAUUAUGUGUAUUUUCAAUGAAACAAAAAAUAUAUUUAUAAAUAUGUGUGUGUAUGUGUGUGUAUGCAAUGUGUGUAUAUAUACAGUCAAUCCUCUCCCCCACAGAGAAACAGAUUUUUUAUGGACCAGCUUUAACGCAUACAGAGUUGGUAAUGAUUUUUUAUAGUAUUGCUGUCAUUUGUAUUUUUGCCGCACUUAAGGUAGCUUAGAGUUUGUUGUCCUAAGCAUUUAAAAAAUUCUCCCAGGUAUGGGAAUCGAAGCAACAUGAAACCAGACAUUAUGUGAAUCAUUAAAAUGCAUUUCCCUAAUUGAUAUGAACUCUGAAUUACUGACAAUCCAUUCAGUGCUAUCAAGUGCAAUAAGCAAAGAGAAGAGUGAAAGAGUAGGCUUGGAUGGCCUUGGUAUCCAUUUGCAACAGUGUAGUAAUUGUCUUCUACUACUACUAGUGUCAAUCACCACUUUUUAUUUUUAUCUUGAGAACAUUCACUGUAGUCCCAAUUCAAUUAUCUUUGAAUAUGUAUGUGUAUGUUUCCCAAAGAAGCAGAACCAAUAGGAGAUAUAUCUGUACCUAUACAUCAAAUGUGAGGCAAUCCCUUGAUAAUUAUGGAUAUUGGAACAUACUACAACCUGCCAGCUGCAAACUGUAGACCCAGGAAAGCUGGUGGGCAGUGACCUAGUUCCACUUGGGUUCAAAUGUCUGAGAACCAAAGGAGCCAAUGGUACAAAUCCUAGACUAACGGCGGGAGAAGACCAGUGUCCCAGAUCCAGCAGGCAGCCAAGAAGCAGGACACAUUCUCCUUUCCUGCACAUUUUUUCCUAGCCAGGCGCUCAGUGGGUUGAGUGGUGCCCACCCUCUUUGGGAAGAGGAAACUACUUUGCUGAGUCCAUUGAUUCAAAUGCUGAUCUCCUUCAGAAAAACCCUUUCAGACGUUCUCAGAAGGUGUCAUCUGGACACUCUGAGGUCCAGUCAAUUGGAGACAUAAAAUGAAUCACAGUAUGAAAAUAAACUUUAAUUGAAGGCUUUCAUCUUCCAUAGAGAAAAUAAAUCAUGUUAAAGAUGGGAUGGAGCUAACUGUCAACCCUUAAUAAAGAGAAGUGAUUACAGGUCCUACACUGUGCUAGGAAUUCUCACUAUAGCAACUGAAACUUUGUGGUAACAAAGGGAGACAGAUACAGGUCAGAGUGAGAAGUGAAUCUAUAUCCCAAUGCCUAGUUUUUAUGCUAUAUGCCCGCUAAGAGUUUAUUUCCUUACCUGAGAAGUUAUAAUUAAGCUUAAGCCAAGAGACCAACUGUACUAACCACUAUCAAAAUUACUUUUUAAAUUCUGUUGCAAUGUAGCCAAGUCUAUUGAAGAGCUCUAAGUACAUGGAAAGCCCCAUUGUGAGGGGCCUCAGUAUGAAGCUAAAGAAUUUGGCUUCACAAUGCCCAGACUAUGUUGUUCUAUUGAAUGCUUGUAUUUUAGAAGACAUUAUUAAGUGUCUUCCUGUUUCAUAGGAAGGAAUGUGUUUCAUACUCAAAAAUAUUCCGUAAAUCUUUGGUGAGGGAAAGCUAUCUCCUAAAAUAGGCUUCUUCAUCCCGAGGCUUUCAAGUCAUUAUAAAGUUAGUAUAUAUCCCAAGUCAACAAAGGAGAGUCAGAAGAACUAGACAGCAUUUCUCAGAACUGCUUGAGUCCACAACACCUUUUUAUUUAAAAAUUUUAGUAUUAGUAUUACUAUUAUUUUGUAGAACAUCUAUUACCCUCAUAAUUAAUAAGUGCUAUUUUCAUAGUACAUUGUGGGAAAUCUUUGAGAGGCUUAUACAGCAAAAUAACACUGACCCAAUCCUGUCUACUACCCAGGUAACAAAUCUUCGCUAUUGGCAGAUGUUACUGGAUGCGGUUAGAACCCUCCUGACUUGAAAGAUCCAUACACCUUUUGAUUUUAUUACACCUUCCCGUUGUUCCCCGUGUUUCUCGGUCACACAAUCAGCUCUGAAAUUCAAUCACACAACAAAACUGAAUGCUUAAACAAUGUAAUUCCAUUAAGAGUCAUUUUUUAAAAGAAUGGUUUCCGUUAAUUUGAUGGUUGGCCUUCUGUUAAGCCAAAACUCUCUGUUUUCCUGCAAAUGCCAAGGAGACCAUAUAUAAAUUAAGUGGCCAAAAGUAAUCCAGGUAAAUUAUUUAACAAAGUACAUUUCAAUUUCUUCAGUUCUCAAUAUAUUUU
rnacentral:lncRNA from 1 species